CGGAGGGGGCAAGCGUUGUUCGGAUUUACUGGGCGUAAAGGGUGUGUAGGCGGCUGCGCAAGUCUGAUGUGAAAUCUUCACCGCUUAACGGGAAGAGGGCAUUGGAAACUGCGUAGCUCGAGUAUGGUAGAGGCAAGCGGAAUUCCUGGUGUAGCGGUGGAAUGUGUAGAUAUCAGGAAGAACACCGGUGGCGAAGGCGGCUUGCUGGGCCAUUACUGACGCUGAGACACGAAAGCGUGGGGAGCAAACGGGAUUAGAUACCCCGGUAGUCCACGCUGUAAACGGUGCGCACUAGGUGUGAGGGGUAUCGACCCCCCUUGUGCCGAAGCAAACGCAUUAAGUGCGCCGCCUGGGGAGUACGGCCGCAAGGUUG
rnacentral:rRNA from 1 species